GACGAACGCUGGCGGCGUGCCUAAUACAUGCAAGUCGAACGCACUCUCGUUUAGAUUGAAGGAGCUUGCUCCUGAUUGAUAAACAUUUGAGUGAGUGGCGGACGGGUGAGUAACACGUGGGUAACCUGCCCUAAAGUGGGGGAUAACAUUUGGAAACAGAUGCUAAUACCGCAUAAAACCUAACACCGCAUGGUGUAAGGGUUGAAAGAUGGUUUCGGCUAUCACUUUAGGAUGGACCCGCGGUGCAUUAGUUACGUUGGUGAGGUAAAGGCUCACCAAGACCGUGAUGCAUAGCCGACCUGAGAGGGUAAUCGGCCACACUGGGACUGAGACACGGCCCAGACUCCUACGGGAGCAGCAGUAGGGAAUCUUCCACGAAUGGACGAAGUCUGAUGGAGC
rnacentral:rRNA from 1 species